rnacentral:lncRNA from 1 species
CUUCAGCAUCCUUGCAUAUGUUCAAUUCUUAAAAACCUGUUGAAAUAAAAGAUCAGGAGACAUAGGAAGGAUGCCAGAAGAGAGCGUGGCCUCACGUGUACCAGCUCUCUGCUCUCCUUUGCCUUGGGACGUUCCAUCCCUGGAAGUUUCCCUGCCCACAUCUUUGUAGAGAGUCCAUUCUCCAAGCUUCAGUGUGUCAUCUGUGAGGACCGUGACCCACCUGGUACAUCGCCUCAGGGCAUUCAUUUCAGGCUCCUUCUAAAUGGCCAAGUUUUCAAGAUUGUUUUGGCUCUAGCAAAACAAGUUGGAACAUUCACAUCAUCCAAGACAACACCAACAUUUUUGUAAUGGCCUGCAAGGCCUUCCGAGAUCUACCUCCUGCAACUCAGCUUCUCCUGUGCUCUCCUUCUGGACUCACUCUGCCUCAGCAACACUGGUCCCUGUUGCCCCACCAAUAUGCCAGGCCAUGAGAGAAGCAGUACCUUAUAAUGGUUCCUUGUUCAAAGCACUCAAUAUUCCUAGGAUGUGGUCUCCCAGCUGACUUCAUAACUGAAUCAUCAGUAAUUAAUUUCAUUGUUCUAUUAGGACUUUACUGAAGACUCUAAGGAGGACCUGUAUCUGUUGGGAUCCUCAGGGCAAGCCACAGAAACAAGCUUUGGAUACUAGAAGCAGAAAAUGGAGAUAUUGAAGACUAUUGUGGAGUUUACUGUGAGCCAGAGAACCAGGCUGGGGGGCUGUAUCACUUAGAAUGAGAUCCAAACUCACACCAUAGUUCCAUCCUUGAGGUUGCCAUGUUGCUGCCACCCCUCCUGCCACCCCACCACUGAAGCUUUGGAUGCUGGAUUCUGGGCACAGCAGGGAGAAGUGUUGCUUAUUACCAUUUUAGUAUGUUUUCUUUCAAGACCUUUUCAAAAUAUACAUACGUAUUUUUAUUUCUAUUCAAAAUGGGAUACAUUUUUGAAGGUUAGCAAUAUAUUGUGAACAUUUUCUUUC